AUGACUUGGACACAGGACAACAAAGGGUCCCCGCUCCCAUCUCAAAUGCAAAGUGUGGCCUCUUUUCAUCCUCCCUGGUCUAGCCACUCUGCUUUUGUUCUCUCAAUUAAGACUUCUUAGACCUCCCGCAGAGAUGUGUGGAUCUGUCACCUCGGAAGGCGGCUGUGUGGCGUUUCUCAGCGAGGAUCCUCCAUGUGGCUCGCAGCGGUAACCCACCACCUCUGGGAAUAUGUUCCUCCCCAGUGAUCUCUGAGUCGACAGCCCAUACGGAACCCUGCACGUACUGUUUUUUUUUUUCUUGUACAUAUCUAUGAUAAAGUUGAAUUUAUAAAUUAGGCACGGUAAGGGAUGAACACCACA
rnacentral:lncRNA from 1 species